rnacentral:rRNA from 1 species
UACGGAGGGUGCAAACGUUGCUCGGAAUCAUUGGGCGUAAAGCGCACGUAGGCGGUCUGUUAAGUCGGGUGUGAAAGCCCUCGGCUCAACCGAGGAAGUGCAUUCGAAACUGGCAGGCUGGAGUACUGGAGAGGAUGACGGAAUUCCCGGUGUAGAGGUGAAAUUCGUAGAUAUCGGGAGGAACACCAGCGGCGAAGGCGGUCAUCUGGACAGAUACUGAUGCUGAGGUGCGAAAGCGUGGGGAGCAAACAGG